GCCAACGUGGAGCACGUUGAGGCUGGCCGUCGCGCGUCUCCUUGGUCAUAGAGGAGGAUCGCACCCGUGCUGAGCUGAUUACUGCUGAGGUUGAAGCCGUAGACGUCCAUCGUGGCGAUGAACCCGUAGUAUCCCUCCUUCGUCGCUCCUGGGCGUGUCACCUGCUUCGCAAGCUAAGCGAUAACAAAGAAGAUAAUUAUUAGUAGCAAAUACUAGUUGGCAAUAUCUAUCUCCGUAGAUCAACCGAUCAACGACGCUGCUAUUAUACAUACGUAUUGUGUCACCGAGCCAGACCCGGCAUCAUCCAAUGGUGAAACUUGAUCCAGCAAUCUAGGAGAUACCAUGAUCGGUCCGACCUUGGAGCCUGGGACUUUCACCUGAUGUAUCAUGUAUGUACGUGCAGAUUAUUAGCAAGCUUCAUGCUGUCUGUCAAAAUUAAGCUAAUUAGGACCGCUGGUUAGGCACGUACCCGGGCAGCGUUGGUUCCAUGGCCGGCCAAAAGCAGCACCCACGCCACGGCGACGAGAAGAAGUAAUUCGGCCAUCGUCGUCGUCGAGAUGAGAAGACGUCACACAUGCGCUUAUAUAUAGAGAGAAGAGAAGAGGCCGGCUUCAUCGUGAUAAAUUUGGAAAUGUUGGCUAGGGUCGAUUCAUUCAUUUACGUACCAUAACCGUUGCUCUAUACCAAAGUUAUGGAGAGAUUAAUGGUUGUUUAAUUCCGGCCCAUAUAUGUACCAUAACUGUUGCUCUCACUGGUAGAAAAAGAGGCUUCCGUCCAGCCCCAUUAGUCGCGAAACUGUAGGAACCGCGACUAAUGAAGUCUUUAGUCGCGGUUCGGCAGAUGAACCGCGACCAAAUGCCUGGGCCCAGGGCGCUCGCGGGCUUUAGUCGCGGUUGGCCAGGCCAACCGCGACUGAAGGUGCCCAAAGGCCUUUAGUCGCGGUUGGCCAGGCCAACCGCGACUAAAGCUCCUCCCUUUUAGUCGCGGUUGGUGGCACGAACCGGAACUAAUGGGGUUGAGACCUUUAGUCCCGGUUCGUGCCACGAACCGGUACUAAAGGUCCCAUUUUCAAACUCUACCCCCCCCGGGAUCGCCUUUUCAGUUUAAAAAAAAAUAAAAGAAAAUAAUGGAAAUGUCAAAAAAAUAAAAGAAAAUAAGUUUCUCAUGUGAUAUGUGGUCUAGUUGUUGGGAAAAUUUGCAAAUGUGAAUUUUGACUUUAUUUGCAAAAUCUCUCUGAAAUUUGUAAAAAUGGGCAUAACUUUUGCAUACUAACUCGGAUGAAAAAGUUUUUUAUAUGAAAAAUCAUCUACUCGAAAAGUUACAUCUAAAUUUAAAACUGAAAAAGCAACCAUCGCCGGACGAACAAAUUCUAAGGAGAGAGAGCAGACGGGAGCAACGGGAAUGGAAGAGCAACGCAAGGCACAACCAGUAUUUAUAGGAACGGGAGACAGGCGGAAGAGAAAU
rnacentral:lncRNA from 1 species